rnacentral:lncRNA from 1 species
UCCGAAUCUAUUCUCACAGGUUGCAACAAAGUCAAAUCCGCCAAUCUUCUGUCAUCUCUCAGCAUGAAGGUCUUCUUUUUUCAAACCAUACAUAAUAAUGCAACUAGGAUGCAGGGAGACAAAGUUUGUAGUUCAAACAAGAUAGAGCAGAGACUUGAAACUGAUUUUCCCACUUUCCAGGUAAGCACCUUGACUACUAGGGACAGACAUUCCACAUAAACUGGUUUAAGUGAUUAGAAGCUGGUUUAAACCUGUAACCGAACAGAAGGUCAGUGCACACAAACCAGUUUAAAAAUGGCCA